AUUGAACGCUGGCGGCAGGCCUAACACAUGCAAGUCGAGCGAGCGGCGGACGGGUGAGUAAUGUAUGGGGACUGCCCGAUCGAGGGGGAUAACUACUGGAAACGGUGGCUAAUACCGCAUACUAUCGGAUAACCCAUAUGGGAUUAGCUAGUAGGUGGGGUAAAGGCUCACCUAGGCGACGAUCUCCAGCUGGUCUGAGAGGAUGAUAAGCCACACUGGGACGGGGACAGGGCCCAGACUCCUACGGAGGCAGCAGUGGGGAAUAUUGCGCAAUGGGCGCAAGCCUGAUGCAGCCAUGCCGCGUAUGGGAAGAGGGCCUUAGGGUUGUAAAGUACUUUCGGCGUAGAGGCGUUACCCGCAGAAGAAGCACCGGCUAACUCCGUGCCAGCCGCCGCGGUAAUAC
rnacentral:rRNA from 1 species